UUUGAAAUCUAAGGUAAACCUUUCCAAUUCCGAGUCCGUAAUGAAAUUGAAAUAAUAAUAAAAAUUACUUAAUGACAUCCUCCAUAAUCCUUCCAAGUCCAAAAUGUUCCAAAUUCGUGUGAGUAGCCCCUCCACGGUUGCUUUUGCAAUUGGUCGAAUCCAAUUCAACAGAAUGCCCAAAACAAGAUUCUCUGCCAUUCAAUCGAAAACAGAGAUACCCACUUCAGAGCCAAACCCAGGUUCUGAAGGUUCCAACGAUGGUUCAGCUCCCGAGCUUCGUGUUUUUACGAGGAGAAAGAGAUUAAAAAAGACAGAAGUUCAAAAAAUACAUCUUGAAGUAAAA